GGGAGAGUAGCUCAGUUGGUAGAGCACCGGACCGUUAAUCCGAGGGUCAUAGGUUCAAACCCUAUCUCUCCCG
rnacentral:tRNA from 1 species